CAACCCUCAAGCCCCCGGGCUUGGUGUUGGAGAUCGGCGAGCCCUCCGGGGCGCGCCGUCUCCCAAAUAUAGUGGCGGUCCCGCUGUAGCUUCCUCUGCGUAGUAGCACACCUCGCACUGGGAAACAGCGUGGCCACGCCGUGAAACCCCCCACUUCUGAAA
rnacentral:misc_RNA from 1 species